rnacentral:rRNA from 1 species
AGCAGUGGGGAAUAUUGCACAAUGGGCGCAAGCCUGAUGCAGCCAUGCCGCGUGUGUGAAGAAGGCCUUCGGGUUGUAAAGCACUUUCAGCGAGGAGGAAGGUGGUGAGCUUAAUACGCUCAUCAAUUGACGUUACUCGCAGAAGAAGCACCGGCUAACUCCGUGCCAGCAGCCGCGGUAAUACGGAGGGUGCAAGCGUUAAUCGGAAUUACUGGGCGUAAAGCGCACGCAGGCGGUUUGUUAAGUCAGAUGUGAAAUCCCCGGGCUCAACCUGGGAACUGCAUUUGAAACUGGCAAGCUAGAGUCUCGUAGAGGGGGGUAGAAUUCCAGGUGUAGCGGUGAAAUGCGUAGAGAUCUGGAGGAAUACCGGUGGCGAAGGCGGCCCCCUGGACGAAGACUGACGCUCAGGUGCGAAAGCGUGGGGAGCAAACUGGAUUAGAUACCCUGGUAGUCCACGCUGUAAACGAUGUCGAUUUGGAGGUUGUGCCCUUGAGGCGUGCUUCCGG